UAUUUCUACACCGUUGGGGUGAAAAAGGACAAAAAGGGCAAAAACAAGAAGAAAAGAGGACUUUGUCAAAUCAACAAAGGCAAAGAAGUGACCAGGGGCAAAAUGGACGAUGAGGAACAGGGAAUGAAUGGUUUCGUAGAAAACACUCACACGAUGUCCCAACUGAUACGGCUUUGAGACGAUUAAGCGCAAUCAUGUCGGUGAAACUGCGAGACAACAACCCCAACAUUGCCGAUCUCAGUGAUCAAUUCAGACCUACCAAAUUCGGUAAACAGUUUUCUGAGCUCUAUGACAACGAGUGGACAGGCGCCUUUGAUGCCCUUCAGAAUAAGUUUGAAGAGAGACAUGCCAUUAGCAUUCUUUUGGACAUUGUCAUGGAUGCUACGAAUGCUCAACAAAUAUAAAAGACUCUCAAAGAUGGGCGAAAACAAAAGGCCAUGGGCCAUAUAGAGGAAAUACAACAGUUUCAGCAAAAUGAAAACGACGUCAAUACCAAUUGUACAACAGCUGAAACGGGGAAUUCACAUGAUGUUCCAACUGAAGAACUGAAGAAAGUAGAGAGGCCUAUCUUUGAUAAAGACAAAUUUUAAGAAUACACAUCCCGUGGACCAUACGUAGACUACUACGUUUGUCCAAUUAUAUAUCUACACCGAGACGGACCGAUGCUUUGAAAAGGAAUUGCACAAGGUUCUAAACAUAAAAUGGCCGAUGGCAGUAACACACUACCUGUGUCGUGGAAGACGAUGUCCUAACUGUUAACAUACGCACACAUAUCUGGAGACAAGCACGGGAUGGCGGGAUGCAAUCGUUUGGGUUAUACCAAGUGAACGUUUGAGUAUGUACAGUGGCGUAGCAUUUUGAAUAGUUUUUUAAUGAUGAGUGAUCAUGUUUUGGUCUACAUGUGCGUGAUAGAAAUUAUUCGAUGUUGUUAUUUCAAGCGUACCUAUGUAUUCCAUCAAUCGAAAUAAUUUUGAAUGAUGUACCAUCGUUUGCUUACUAUACUUUGAUGUAUGUGUAUUCUGUACAAUACACCAUAUAGAACCACGAACACAGUCGCGAUUUUCUUUCUUAAUUGGGUUUACAAUCAUGACUAUACAUUUAGUUUAAAAUGUCAUUUUCCAUUUAACUUCAUUCACAUUUCCGUAUGUUCAGCCAUUUGUUUUCUUAAAUCAUACGUUAAAAGGGAAUUUACAUAUGCAACCAAAGGCGUUUUAUUAUUGACAAUUUAAAAAAUAGGCGUAAUCAUGUCUACGCAUAGUGGUUAAAAAAGCUAAUGUGUCCCCGUUAUUUAGUAAGUUUCUAAUUUACGACACAUGUACUGACGUACCACAAUCUUAAUUCCAAAUACCGAACAAUGUUUAAGUGAUAUUAUGGGCAUUUUUCACGGUUGAAUUGAGCUGAAAAGAAUUAACAGGUCAAAAGAGUUAAUUAAAAUGUGGUAACUGACAAAUUAUCUGAAACUCAUCUUGCUGCCAGUUGUUUAUAAAAAUAUAUGUUAUAUGCGAUAUUCUUACGUGACUAACCCAGUCAUCUAUGCCGAAAUGAUCCGUAAAACAAGAUUGUGUCUUUGUGUCGUGUGAACGAAUGACAUCGUACAUGAAUGAUCUGUUGUCAAACGAAAGUACGGUUGAUAUUCAAAUGCAUUAUUUUUCUCUUUCCGGGAUAUUGUUUUAGUAUGUUGAUGCUGCAUUAACAAAUAUAAGUGUAUAUGAAGUUAAAACAUCAACAAUAAACAAUGGUUUCGAUAGACACCUAUAAACUGUUAGAUGCCCAUAAUAUCACUUUAAUUAUAAUUGUACUUACAUAUUUCUUCUGUAGUUAUGUAAAAUGUUUUUAAAAUACAAUGGGGGAUGAAAAGGUAGUUUUCAUGAACUUGGCAUUGUGUUUUUCUAAUCGAUUGUUUGUGAAAAAAUAUGGUAUAAUGAGAUUGUUAUUAUAUUUUAAUUCGAUUUAAUUUUUAUCUUGUAUGUAUGCACUUGAAAUUAUACCAACAGAUUUAACGUUGUUCUUGCGCGAUCUAUUGAGUUAAGUUCCACUGUUCUUGUAUUGGAUUAUACCAAUGCUCGAGAGUCAAAUGAAAUGUAUAAUAAUACAAGUAUUUAUAUAUAUUACGUUGUUUCAUUUCAUAAAUAAAGGUAACGUGACCCUUUAUAUUUUAAAUACCAUUUU